GUUCCCUCUAAGCUGCGCGCGUGCGCAAUUGCGCACUGCUGACACGGUCUCCGCGCACAGAAAAUCUGCGCUGUGCACAAAAAAAAAAAAAUCCAACCUAAAUUGUAAAUAAAAUAAACACGUAACAAUUCAUUCUGUGCUAUUUUUCAGUGUGAGUCAGUGAGUGACCGGUGACUGGCUGCUGCAGCCAAUGAUGCGAUUCACAUACGUAUUUACCAUAGACUGUAUAUAAUGGUAUUUACGCAGCUAAUCAACGUCACGCGUCCUUAUGUGCAGCCACCGUUGUUGUCAUAGAUAUGAAUGAGUAGAUAGGACACGCCCCUUUGAGCUGCGUGCUACUGCGAGGCUAAGCUAGUGGGGGCAAAGUUUCAGUGCAUUCCGUUGAUGUAGACGGCGUGAAAACGGAAACAACAAGUAUGCCGGCUCACUGUGCUGCAUACAAUUACACACUACGUCGUACGAUUGAGACAAGGAAACUUGGAAUGACUUUUCAUAGGUUUCCCAGAGACUAUGGGUUGAGGAGGAACUGGAAGUUUGUCGGCUGAGACCUGGUGUCAUUCCAUCAGUGUUUAACUUCCCGGCUCAUCUUGGAAGAGUACGUGCCAGAAAGACCACGACCAAGCAGCCUUGAGAUCUUAGGCAGCGUCUCCCUCAGUUCAAAGGUCCCUCUCUAUCUCCCCACACAUCCACCAACCACUGGAACACAUCUCCAGAGUUCUGCUGGGCUAGCUCAGCUUCCCCUCAGAAGAAGUGCUGCCACCUGCCAGAUGAAGGAGCCUUUUGAGAGGCAGCUGGCAUCGUGAUUGGACUGUACUUUGGUCUGUUCCAAUCCAGCUUCAGCUCCAGAGACGGCAGGCGGGACGAGUCAACGGAGGCCGGAUGGAUGAAGGCAUGCAGCUGAGUACAAUCCAGAAAACAACAGAGAAGGAGUGAAGCAGCCAGAACAAGCAGAGUAGCAUCGUAUGUCUCUUAGAAAACAUCAUAGUAUAGCCUUUGGUAUGAAAAAACGCCAUCAUAUACACAGAAUAUCUACUACAAAUAACAAGUCAAAGGAAAGAGACAUACAUUGUAGAAUUGUAGUAAUUGUGGGCUGACUGAUUUACUGAUUAUCAGUAAUUUAUUUUUUACUGAUUUAUGGUAAUAAAUAAAUUUAAAAAUGGUGCUACUUUGGCUCUGAACCUUUAUCUACCUGUGGUCGCGCUGUCUUCUGGAGUGAUUUGAUUGGUUAUACGUCACAAAUAAAACUCCUUUAACUUAACAUCUGUAAACAAAACAAAAACGUAUCAACAAAGUUUUCUGUUAGAGUUUGUGUUCUUCAAAGUUUAACUCCAAGAUUUUAAAUACUUUCAUUUACUGCAAGUGAGUAUCUGCUCCAAAUGUCUCACUAAUAAUCAUUAUCAGCCUUAAAAACCCACAAAACACCCCUCUAUACUCGACCACACUUAGUACAGUCCGGUUCCCCCUUCUAUAAAUCUGCUUGGAAUCUUCCACUUCCUGUUUGUCAAAGUGGCCUUCUACCUGGACAGGUUUUGUUGGAGCUCAUGCAACAAACAUUUUGGGUAACUGCACUUUAAUAUGGAUGGAUGACACUGAAUUAGAGUCUGUUUUAAUGAGACUGAGUUAAGAUGUGUAGCUCUGUCAUUAAAUAGUAAAUUAUUUCUCAGCAUUCACAGAGAAAAGUCUGAAAUGUUUGCUAGGUUAGCGUCCCACAUGUUCUUUGGCUCAGCUAAAGCUAACUCUCUCCAACUUCUGGAUCUCUUGAGUUGCUUAUUGUUAAAAUAUCUUGCUAGAGGUGCUGAAGCUCAGAAAGUCUGAGAUGUUUGUUCAGAAUAAGCUCAUUCUCAAGUCUUAUCUGAACUGUCCUCUUUUGUUUGAACUUUCCCUAAACUUAGGAGUUAAUGACAGAGCAGCACAUCCAGACUCAGUCUCAUUUAUGUAGAGAUUAAACUUCAGUGUCAUUCAUUGAUGUUAAAGUGCAGUUUUUCAAAUGUUUGUUGCACAUGCUCCUGACCAAACCAGUCCAGGUGGAAGACGAUGUGAAGAGAAAGCUCCAGAGGAUGAAUAUCACACAUUUAUGUUGGAAAUAAAUGUCCUUUAAUUAGA